rnacentral:rRNA from 1 species
CCUACGGGCGGCUGCAGUGGGGAAUAUUGCACAAUGGGGGAAACUCUGAUGCAGCGACGCCGCGUGAGUGAAGAAGUAUUUCGGGAUGUAAAGCUCUAUCAGCAGGGAAGAAAAUGACGGUACCUGAUUAAGAAGCCCCGGCUAACUACGUGCCAGCAGCCGCGGUAAUACGUAGGGGGCAAGAGUUAUCCGGAUUUACGGGGUGUAAAGGGAGCGUAGACGGCAGCACAAGUCUGGAGUGAAAUGCCGGGGCUUAACCCCGGAACUGCUUUGGAAACUGUGCAGCUAGAGUGCAGGAGAGGUAAGUGGAAUUCCUAGUGUAGCGGUGAAAUGCGUAGAUAUUAGGAGGAACACCAGUGGCGAAGGCGGCUUACUGGACUGUAACUGACGUUGAGGCUCGAAAGCGUGGGGAGCAAACAGGAUUAGAUACCCUGGUAGUC